GAUGAACGCUGGCGGCGUGCCUAAUACAUGCAAGUCGAGCGAACGGACGAGAAGCUUGCUUCUCUGAUGUUAGCGGCGGACGGGUGAGUAACACGUGGAUAACCUACCUAUAAGACUGGGAUAACUUCGGGAAACCGUAGCUAAUACCGGAUAAUAUUUUGAACCGCAUGGUUCAAAAGUGAAAGACGGUCUUGCUGUCACUUAUAGCUGGAUCCGCGCUGCAUUAGCUAGUUGGUAAGGUAACGGCUUACCAAGGCAACGAUGCAUAGCCGACCUGAGAGGGUGGUCGGCCACACGGGAACUGAGACACGGUCCAGACGCCUACGGGAGGCAGCAGUAGGGAAUCUUCCGCAAUGGGCGAAAGCCUGACAGAGCAACGCCGCGUGAGUGAUGAAGGUCUUCGGAUCGUAAAACUCUGUUAUUAGUGAAGAACAGAUGUGUAAGUAACUGUGCACAGCGUGACGGUACCGAAUCAGAAAGCCACGGCUAACUACGUG
rnacentral:rRNA from 1 species